AGCAAAAAGACUUUUAGUUUGAACCCCCGAAUCUAGGCGAGCUAUUUUAAGACAGUUUCAUGAACGAACCCGUCUCUGUUGCAAAAGAGUGGGAAGAUCCUAAAAUAGCGGUGACAGACCUAACGAGCCUAGUGAUAGCUGGUUGCUCCAGAAAAGGAUUUUAGUCCUGCUUAAACCUUAAUGAUUUUCCAAAAAAUCUGUUUAAAGUUACUCAAAUAAGGUACAGCCUAUUUGAAAAAGGAUACAACCUUAAUUACUGGGUCUUAAUUUUUAAUUUUGGUAGAGUAGGCCUAAAAGCAGCCAUCUCAAACAAAAGCGUCAAAGCUUACCCAUAAACUUAACCAAUUCCUAUCCUCCCAUCUACCCCUUAUUUUUCCCAUAGAGCAUCUCUAUAUUUUUAUAGAAAAUUUUAUGUUAAAACUAGUAAUAAGAAGCAGACCAUUCUCUUUAACGCAAGUUUACGUCAAUCAGGACACUCCACUGACAAUUAAC
rnacentral:rRNA from 1 species